rnacentral:rRNA from 1 species
UACGUAGGGGGCAAGCGUUGUCCGGAAUCAUUGGGCGUAAAGAGCGUGUAGGCGGCCCGGUAAGUCCGCUGUGAAAGUCCAGGGCUCAACCCUGGGAUGCCGGUGGAUACUGUCGGGCUCGAGUCCGGAAGAGGAGUGUGGAAUUCUCGGUGUAGCGGUGAAAUGCGUAGAUAUCGAGAGGAACACCUGCGGCGAAGGCGGGUUGCUGGGCCGACACUGACGCUGAUGCGCGAAAGCCAGGGGAGCGAACGGG